rnacentral:rRNA from 2 species
AUGGUUAAGUGACUAAGCGUACACGGUGGAUGCCUUGGCAGUCAGAGGCGAUGAAGGACGUAUUAACUUGCGAUAAGCCCAGAUUAGGUAGUAAAAACCAUUUGAGUCUGGGAUUUCCGAAUGGGGAAACCCACUAGCAUAAGCUAGUAUCGCUGCGUGAAUACAUAGCGCAGCGAGGCGAACCGGGGGAACUGAAACAUCUAAGUACCCCGAGGAAAAGAAAUCAACCGAGAUUCCGAAAGUAGCGGCGAGCGAAAUUGGACUAGCCCUUAAGCUUUUUAUGCGUCAGGUGAAACUUCUGGAAAGUUGUGCGAUACAGGGUGAUAGCCCCGUAACCGGCAACGCAUUUAAAGUGAAAUCGAGUAGGGCGGGACACGUGAUAUCCUGUCUGAAUAUGGGGGGACCAUCCUCCAAGGCUAAAUACUACUGACUGACCGAUAGUGAACCAGUACCGUGAGGGAAAGGCGAAAAGAACCCCUGUGAGGGGAGUGAAAUAGAACCUGAAACCGUGUACGUACAAGCAGUAGGAGCACCUUCGUGGUGUGACUGCGUACCUUUUGUAUAAUGGGUCAGCGACUUAUAUUCAGUGGCAAGGUUAACCAUCUAGGGGAGCCGUAGGGAAACCGAGUCUUAACUGGGCGUUCAGUCUCUGGAUAUAGACCCGAAACCAGGUGAUCUAGCCAUGGGCAGGUUGAAGGUUGAGUAACAUCAACUGGAGGACCGAACCGACUAAUGUUGAAAAAUUAGCGGAUGACUUGUGGCUAGGGGUGAAAGGCCAAUCAAACCUGGAGAUAGCUGGUUCUCCCCGAAAGCUAUUUAGGUAGCGCCUCGGACGAAUACUACUGGGGGUAGAGCACUGUUAAGGCUAGGGGGUCAUCCCGACUUACCAACCCUUUGCAAACUCCGAAUACCAGUAAGUACUAUCCGGGAGACACACGGCGGGUGCUAACGUCCGUCGUGGAGAGGGAAACAACCCAGACCGCCAGCUAAGGUCCCAAAUUACUACUAAGUGGGAAACGAUGUGGGAAGGCUCAGACAGCCAGGAUGUUGGCUUAGAAGCAGCCAUCAUUUAAAGAAAGCGUAAUAGCUCACUGGUCGAGUCGGCCUGCGCGGAAGAUGUAACGGGGCUAAGUAGUAAACCGAAGCUGCGGCAAUGCACUUUAGUGCAUUGGGUAGGGGAGCGUUCUGUAAGCGGUUGAAGGUGUGUGGUAACGCAUGCUGGACGUAUCAGAAGUGCGAAUGCUGACAUGAGUAACGAUAAAGGGGGUGAAAAACCUCCUCGCCGGAAGACCAAGGGUUCCUGUCCAACGUUAAUCGGGGCAGGGUAAGUCGACCCCUAAGGCGAGGCCGAAAGGCGUAGUCGAUGGGAAACGGGUUAAUAUUCCCGUACUUCUUACAAUUGCGAUGGGGGGACGGAGAAGGCUAGGUGGGCCUGGCGACGGUUGUCCAGGUUCAAGUGCGUAGGCUGAGAGAUUAGGUAAAUCCGGUUUCUCUUAAGGCUGAGACACGACGUCGAGCUACUACGGUAGUGAAGUCAUUGAUGCCAUGCUUCCAGGAAAAGCCUCUAAGCUUCAGAUUGUAAGGAAUCGUACCCCAAACCGACACAGGUGGUCGGGUAGAGAAUACCAAGGCGCUUGAGAGAACUCGGGUGAAGGAACUAGGCAAAAUGGUACCGUAACUUCGGGAGAAGGUACGCUCUCGACGGUGAAGUCCCUUGCGGAUGGAGCUAUUGAGAGUCGCAGAUACCAGGUGGCUGCAACUGUUUAUUAAAAACACAGCACUGUGCAAAAUCGUAAGAUGACGUAUACGGUGUGACGCCUGCCCGGUGCCGGAAGGUUAAUUGAUGGGGUUAGACUUCGGUCGAAGCUCUUGAUCGAAGCCCCGGUAAACGGCGGCCGUAACUAUAACGGUCCUAAGGUAGCGAAAUUCCUUGUCGGGUAAGUUCCGACCUGCACGAAUGGCGUAAUGAUGGCCACGCUGUCUCCACCCGAGACUCAGUGAAAUUGAAAUCGCUGUGAAGAUGCAGUGUACCCGCGGCUAGACGGAAAGACCCCGUGAACCUUUACUACAGCUUGGCACUGAACAUUGACCCUACAUGUGUAGGAUAGGUGGGAGGCUUUGAAACUAGUACGCCAGUAUUAGUGGAGCCGUCCUUGAAAUACCACCCUUGUAGUGUUGAUGUUCUAACGUCGACCCCUUAUCGGGGUUGCGGACAGUGCCUGGUGGGUAGUUUGACUGGGGCGGUCUCCUCCCAAAGCGUAACGGAGGAGCACGAAGGUGGGCUAAUCACGGUUGGACAUCGUGAGGUUAGUGCAAUGGCAUAAGCCCGCUUGACUGCGAGAAUGACAAUUCGAGCAGGUGCGAAAGCAGGUCAUAGUGAUCCGGUGGUUCUGAAUGGAAGGGCCAUCGCUCAACGGAUAAAAGGUACUCCGGGGAUAACAGGCUGAUACCGCCCAAGAGUUCAUAUCGACGGCGGUGUUUGGCACCUCGAUGUCGGCUCAUCACAUCCUGGGGCUGAAGUCGGUCCCAAGGGUAUGGCUGUUCGCCAUUUAAAGUGGUACGCGAGCUGGGUUUAGAACGUCGUGAGACAGUUCGGUCCCUAUCUGCCGUGGGCGUUGGAAGAUUGAAGGGGGCUGCUCCUAGUACGAGAGGACCGGAGUGGACGAACCUCUGGUGUUCGGGUUGUGUCGCCAGACGCAUUGCCCGGUAGCUAAGUUCGGAAUCGAUAACCGCUGAAAGCAUCUAAGCGGGAAGCGAGCCCUGAGAUGAGUCUUCCCUGAUACUUUAAGUAUCCUAAAGGGUUGUUCGAGACUAGAACGUUGAUAGGCAGGGUGUGUAAGCGUUGUGAGGCGUUGAGCUAACCUGUACUAAUUGCCCGUGAGGCUUAACCAUACAACACCC